CGGCGGACGGGUGAGUAACACGUGGGUAACCUGCCUGUAAGACUGGGAUAACUCCGGGAAACCGGAGCUAAUACCGGAUAGUUCCUUGAACCGCAUGGUUCAAGGAUGAAAGACGGUUUCGGCUGUCACUUACAGAUGGACCCGCGGCGCAUUAGCUAGUUGGUGAGGUAACGGCUCACCAAGGCGACGAUGCGUAGCCGACCUGAGAGGGUGAUCGGCCACACUGGGACUGAGACACGGCCCAGACUCCUACGGGAGGCAGCAGUAGGGAAUCUUCCGCAAUGGACGAAAGUCUGACGGAGCAACGCCGCGUGAGUGAUGAAGGUUUUCGGAUCGUAAAGCUCUGUUGUUAGGGAAGAACAAGUGCAAGAGUAACUGCUUGCACCUUGACGGUACCUAACCAGAAAGCCACGGCUAACUACGUGCCAGCAGCCGCGGUAAUACGUAGGUGGCAAGCGUUGUCCGGAAUUAUUGGGCGUAAAGGGCUCGCAGGCGGUUUCUUAAGUCUGAUGUGAAAGCCCCCGGCUCAACCGGGGAGGGUCAUUGGAAACUGGGAAACUUGAGUGCAGAAGAGGAGAGUGGAAUUCCACGUGUAGCGGUGAAAUGCGUAGAGAUGUG
rnacentral:rRNA from 1 species